UAUUAAAAACCGAUUAGUUAGUUUUUGUCAAGAAAAAACUGGAUGCGGGCGGAACAUUCUUUUCUAGUCUUUAAGUUAUAACCUCAUCGUGAUUUAUAAUCUCAUCGUAAUUUAGAAUUUUUUAAAAAUGGUUACUUUUAAUCUUAGUAAACUUCUGGCUGAUAAUUUUCCUCCAAGGCAUAUUUUCACGAGUAAAAAUGUAUCUGAAUGUGCUAAAUUUUUGCAGUCCAAGAUUUUAUCACUUUAUGCUGAUUGCACUGUGACUUUCAACAUUUUCAAAAGUCUGGCUUUUAAUUUAAUAAAAAAAUUUAAUGAGUGUGGAAAAAGAAAAAAGUUCUUUCUUACUAAAUAUAAACAUUUUUUGGAUCAAAAUCAACAAUGCAAAUAUCUCUUAUUAGAAAAAGAUUCUGAAAAAGAGAUUAGAACACAUGAGGAAGAACUGCUAUUAAUUA